rnacentral:rRNA from 1 species
UACGUAGGUGGCGAGCGUUAUCCGGAUUUAUUGGGUUUAAAGGGUGCGCAGGCGGUCUGUUAAGUCAGCGGUCAAAGCCCGGGGCUCAACCAUAAAAUUGCCGUUGAAACUGGAAGACUUGAGUGUGUUUGAGGUAGGCGGAAUGCGUGGUGUAGCGGUGAAAUGCAUAGAUAUCACGCAGAACUCCGAUUGCGAAGGCAGCUUACUAAGCCAUAACUGACACUGAAGCACGAAAGCGUGGGGAUCAAACAGG